rnacentral:rRNA from 1 species
UACGUAGGGUGCAAGCGUUGUCCGGAAUUAUUGGGCGUAAAGAGCUCGUAGGCGGUUUGUCGCGUCGGCUGUGAAAGCCCGGAGCUCAACUCCGGGUCUGCAGUCGAUACGGGCAGACUUGAGUGUUGCAGGGGAGACUGGAAUUCCUGGUGUAGCGGUGAAAUGCGCAGAUAUCGGGAGGAACACCGGUGGCGAAGGCGGUUCUCUGGGCCUGUACUGACGCUGAGGAGCGAAAGCGUGGGGAGCGAACAGG